UACAGAGGUCUCAAGCGUUGUUCGGAUUCAUUGGGCGUAAAGGGUGCGUAGGCGGCGCGGUAAGUCGGAUGUGAAAUCUCGGAGCUUAACUUCGAAACUGCAUUCGAUACUGCCGUGCUUGAGGACUGGAGAGGAGACUGGAAUUUACGGUGUAGCGGUGAAAUGCGUAGAUAUCGUAAGGAAGACCAGUGGCGAAGGCGGGUCUCUGGACAGUUCCUGACGCUGAGGCACGAAGGCCCAGGGGAGCAAAACGGG
rnacentral:rRNA from 1 species